GACGAACGCUGGCGGCGUGCUUAACACAUGCAAGUCGAACGGUAAGGCCCUUCGGGGUGCACGAGUGGCGAACGGGUGAGUAACACGUGGGUGAUCUGCCCUGCACUUCGGGAUAAGCCUGGGAAACUGGGUCUAAUACCGGAUAGGACCACUGCCUGCAUGGGUGGUGGUGGAAAGCUUUUGCGGUGUGGGAUGGGCCGGCGGCCUAUCAGCUUGUUGGUGGGGUGAUGGCCUACCAAGGCGACGACGGGUAGCCGGCCUGAGAGGGUGACCGGCCACACUGGGACUGAGAUACGGCCCAGACUCCUACGGGAGGCAGCAGUGGGGAAUAUUGCACAAUGGGCGCAAGCCUGAUGCAGCGACGCCGCGUGAGGGAUGACGGCCUUCGGGUUGUAAACCUCUUUCAGCAUCGACGAAGCGCAAGUGACGGUAGGUGCAGAAGAAGGACCGGCCAACUACGUGCCAGCCGCCGCGGUAA
rnacentral:rRNA from 1 species